rnacentral:rRNA from 1 species
GCUAAAAAUCUAGCCCAUUUACCUAAAAAUACCCACCUCCCCUUUUAUUAAUAAAAUAAAACAUUCUACAAAUUUAGUAAAGGCGAUAAAAAAAUUACUAGGAGCUAUACAAAUAGUACCGCAAGGGAAAGCUGAAAUAGAAUUGAAAUAAACACUUAAGCAAAAAAAAGUAAAGAUCACCUCUUGUACCUUUUGCAUCAUGGUUUAACUAGUCCUAACCAAGCAAAAAGAAUUUUAGUUUGACCUCCCGAAACUAAGCGAGCUACUUCAAGGCAGCUUUAUGAGCCAACCCGUCUCUGUUGCAAAAGAGUGGGAAGACCUUUAAGUAGGGGUGACAGACCAAACGAGCUUAGUGAUAGCUGGUUGCUCAAUAAAAGAAUUUUAGUUCUCCCUAAAGCCAACCCAAGACCAUUAACUAAUCCUAUUGCUUUAGAGGUAUUCAAACAAGGUACAGCCUGUUUGAAUAAGGAUACAACCUAAACUAAUGGGUUAAAACCCCUGAAGAUACCUAAGUGGGCCUAAAAGCAGCCACCUUCAACAAAAGCGUCAAAGCUUCUCUAUCUCUCUUUAAUAAUUCCAACAACCAUCUUAAACCCUUUACCCCAACUGAGCAAUUCUAUACAACUAUAGAAUAUAUAAUGUUAAAACUAGUAACAAGAAGACAACCCUUCUCUUUAAUGCAAGUGUAAGCCAGAAAGGAUCAACCGCUGUCAAUUAACACAAAUGAACUCUAAUUAGCAACACUACAAGAAAACCCUAUUAUAUACAGUGUUAAACUAACACAAGAGCAUUACAAGAAAGAUUUAAAGAAAAAGAAGGAACUCGGCAAACAAUAACCCCGCCUGUUUACCAAAAACAUCGCCUCUUGAUAACAUAUAAGAGGUCCAGCCUGCCCAGUGACUUAGUUCAACGGCCGCGGUAUCCUAACCGUGCGAAGGUAGCGUAAUCACUUGUUCUUUAAAUGAGGACUAGUAUGAAUGGCACCACGAGGGUUAAACUGUCUCCUUUUUUUAAUCAGUGAAACUAAUCUCCCCGUGAAGAAGCGGGGAUUCUUUUAUAAGACGAGAAGACCCUAUGGAGCUUUAAACAAGUUAACACCUGCUACUAAUCCUCACUUUCCUGAACCACCACAUUAAGUAUAGCACCUCUGAUUAACAGUUUUCGAUUGGGGUGAUCAUGGAACAAAAAUCAACCUCCACGACGAAAAGGAACACCUCCUUGAGCCAAAAGCUACAACUUUAAGCACUAAAAAACUAACGCACUUUGACCCAAUUCUUUGAGCAACGAACCAAGUUACCCUAGGGAUAACAGCGCAAUCCACUUUAAGAGCCCCUAUCGACAAGUGGGUUUACGACCUCGAUGUUGGAUCAGGGUAUCCCAGUGGUGCAGCCGCUACUAAAGGUUCGUUUGUUCAACGAUUAAAACCCU